rnacentral:rRNA from 1 species
AACGAACGCUGGCGGCAUGCCUAACACAUGCAAGUCGAACGAGACCUUCGGGUCUAGUGGCGCACGGGUGCGUAACGCGUGGGAACCUGCCCUUAGGUUCGGAAUAACUCCCCGAAAGGGGUGCUAAUACCGGAUAAUGUCUUCGGACCAAAGAUUUAUCGCCUUUGGAUGGGCCCGCGUUGGAUUAGCUAGUUGGUAGGGUAAAAGCCUACCAAGGCGACGAUCCAUAGCUGGUCUGAGAGGAUGAUCAGCCACACUGGGACUGAGACACGGCCCAGACUCCUCGGGAAGCAGCAGUGGGGAAUAUUGGACAAUGGGCGAAAGCCUGAUCCAGCAAUGCCGCGUGAGUGAUGAAGGCCUUAGGGUUGUAAAGCUCUUUUACCCGGGAUGAUAAUGACAGUACCGGGAGAAUAAGCUCCGGCUAACUCCGUG